UACGUAGGGACCAAGCGUUGUUCGGAUUUACUGGGCGUAAAGGGCGCGUAGGCGGCGUGGUAAGUCACUUGUGAAAUCUCUGAGCUUAACUCAGAACGGUCAAGUGAUACUGCUGUGCUAGAGUGCGGAAGGGGCAAUCGGAAUUCUUGGUGUAGCGGUGAAAUGCGUAGAUAUCAGGAGGAACACCGGUGGCGAAGGCGGGUCUCUGGGCCGAUACUGACGCUGAGGAGCGAAAGCGUGGGGAGCGAACAGG
rnacentral:rRNA from 1 species